AUAUGUUUUUCAAAUAACAAAGAAAUGUAUUAUCGAUAGUUUUGAGGAUACCCAUCUUGUGACUUUGAGGUGAGACCUGGGAUAAAAGAGUUUUGAGUUGACGGCUCAGCGUAUGAAUUGCUCAAAGAUGCAUGAAGCAUACCGGGAAUUUGAGGUUGUCCAUGUUGAUAAGGCGAUGGAAAGGAGGGCAUAGUCCCUAAACCCGGAAGAUUAAGUACUCCAGAAAAUUGGGGAUUAUGGGCAUUUGCUAAUGUUUCGGUGAGAGGGUUUUCGUCAGGUUCAUAAUUAUCGUCUUCUUCGAUCGCUGCUUUUCUCUGACUUAGCAUGGCCUCAGACUGUUCUUCACCUAAAUGAUGGCGAUCCAUGGUGGAUUCCUUGUCAUCUGGGCGAGAUCUUGACCAAAAACGUGUAGUUUUAUCAUUUGAACCUGUACAUAAAAGAUGUCCAAGAGGAUGAUAUUGCAUACUCCAAAUACCCAAAUCAUGAGCAAAUGGAAUUUCAGCAGUAGGGUAUAGUAAAUAAGAAGACGCGGAAAGAGUAACAUUUGGAUGCUUUUCAUGAUACUUUUGCUGAGAAAGUAAUGGAGGUUCAUCAAGUGAAUAAUGAUUGACACUUCCAUCGGAGCCACCAGUAGUAAGCAAAUUAGGAUAAAGAGGAUGCCAUGUUACGCAGUUUACGUCCUUUUCAUGACCACGUAAAACUCGAACGUCCUUCAUGGCACGUAAGUCAAAUACUCGACAAGUGCUAUCCCUAGAGACUGUAGCCAAAUAAUUUGAUCCAAAAUUUUUCUGAAAAGAUGCUUGCAUUAUUGUGUUUUUAUGACCAUGCAAAGUCGCAAUACAUGUACCGGUUCUUGGAUCCCAAAAUUUCACUAAAUUGUCUUUAGAACCAGAAGCCAAGAGACCUUUUGAAGGAUGCCAAUCGACGGUUUUUACAUCCCAUCCAUGACCAGUUAGUUUCAGCUCUUCAGUACUCAUAUGGAAAUUCCAUACUUUUAAUGAACCAUCAUCACUCGCUGUGACAAAUUUGCUAUCAUUGGGUGAAAAGGCAACAUCUCUAACUUCCAUUUCAUGAGCUUGAACAAUUUUGACAUUGUUUAAAUUCGGUUCAAAAUACUUUACCAUGCCUCCUCCAUCGCCGGAAAUAAGCCAGCGCCCAUCUGUACUCCAUUCAGCACAACGAACGGCAUAAUCAUGACUCUGAUUAAUUAACUCAAAAUUAAAUGUGAGACCAUUCCACAGAGUAAAUUCACCAGUUGAAGAACCUGUCAACAGUCUUCGACCAUCUGGAGUCCAGCGCACAACGUUAAUAACAUGUCUAGCUUUAUUUGCAGACGUAUGAAUAUAUUUGGUGCACAAGGAAGAUGUGUUAUUAUACUUGUAUUCAUAAGGGGGAUACAAGUUAAUUAUUUGAUUCGGAUUUGGUCUCGGUACAUGUAUGUGAUAGCGAUUGCUACGCAAAUGUCGAUUGACAAUAUACUUUGAUAGCCCUGAUCCAUAGUCCACAGUCCUACGAGUCAUAGGCUUUUGAAUAAUUCUAGCAUUUUCAGCUCUUUCCAUGAUGAAUUAA
rnacentral:lncRNA from 1 species